CUAUUAUGGUCCAAUGUCCAAAAUCAAAAUACAUGGUUAGAUUCAGCAUAUCAAAGAACCCCAUAUAUUCAAUUUUUGUUGAAAUCAAACAAAGUUUAAUUUUGGACCCCAACUUGGACAAACUUGAAAACUGGGCCCAUAAUCAAAAAUCUAAAUACAUGUUUAGAUUCCACAUAUCAAAGAACCCCAAGAAUUCAAUUUUUGUUAAAAUCAAACUAAGUUUAAUUUUGGACCCUUUGGACCUUAAUGUAGACCAAUUUAAAAAACGGGACCCAAAAUUAAAAAUCUACAUACACGGUUAGAUUUGGAAUAUUAAAGAACCCCAAUAAUUCAAUUUUUGAUGAAAUCAAACAAAGUUUAAUUUUGGACCCUUUUGACUUCAAUAUGAACCAAUUUAAUAGCGGGGCCCACAAAUAAAAAAUCUAAAUACAUGGUUAGAUUCAGCAUAUCAAAGAACCCCAUAUAUUCAAUUUUUGUUGAAAUCAAAAAAAGUUUAAUUUUGAACCCCAACUUGGACCAACUUGAAAACUGGGCCCAUAAUCAAAAAUCUAAACACAUGUUUAGAUUCCGCAUAUCAAAGAACCCCAAGAAUUCAAUUUUUGUUAAAAUCAAACUAAGUUUAAUUUUGGACUCUUUGGACCUUAAUGUAGACCAAUUUAAAAAACGGGACCCAAAAUUAAAAAUCUACAUACACGGUUAGAUUUGGAAUAUUAAAGAACCCCAAUAAUUCAAUUUUUGAUGAAAUCAAACAAAGUUUAAUUUUGGACCCUUUUGACUUCAAUAUGAACCAAUUUAAUAGCGGGGCCCACAAAUAAAAAAUCUAAAUACAUGGUUAGAUUCAGCAUAUCAAAGAACCCCAUAUAUUCAAUUUUUGUUGAAAUCAAAAAAAGUUUAAUUUUGAACCCCAACUUGGACCAACUUGAAAACUGGGCCCAUAAUCAAAAAUCUAAACACAUGUUUAGAUUCCGCAUAUCAAAGAACCCCAAGAAUUCAAUUUUUGUUAAAAUCAAACUAAGUUUAAUUUUGGACUCUUUGGACCUUAAUGUAGACCAAUUUCAAAAACGGGACCCAAAAUAAAAAAUCUAAAUACACGGUUAGAUUUGGCAUAUCAAAGAACCCCAAUAAUUCAAAUUUUGAUGAAAUCAAACAAAGUUUAAUUUUGGACCCUUUUAACCUCAAUAUGAACCAAUUUGAUAGCGGGUCCAUAAAUAAAAAAUCUAAAUACAUGGUUAGAUUCAGCAUAUCAAAGAACCCCAUAUAUUCAAUUUUUGUUGAAAUCAAACAAAGUUUAAUUUUGGACCCCAAUUUGGACCAACUUGAAAACUUGGCCAAAAAUCUAAAAUCUAAAUACAUGUUUAGAUUCAGCAUAUCAAAGAACCCCAUAUAUUCAAUUUUUGUUGAAAUCAAACAAAGUUUAAUUUUGGACCCCAACUUGGACCAACUUGAAAACUGGGCAAAUAAUCAAAAAUCUAAACACAUGUUUAGAUUCAGCAUAUCAAAGAACCCCAGGAAUUCAAUUUUUGUUAAAAUCAAACUAAGUUUAAUUUUGGACCCUUUGGACCUUAAUGUAGACCAAUUUAAAAAACAGGACCCAAAAUUAAAAAUCUACAUACAUGGUUAGAUUUGGAAUAUUAAAGAACCCCAAUAAUUCAAUUUUUGAUGAAAUCAAACAAAGUUUAAUUUUGGACCCUUUUGACUUCAAUAUGAACCA